GACGAACCGAGCGAACGUUAUUCGGAAUCACUGGGCUUAAAGGGCGCGUAGGCGGGCGGCCAAGUCAGGGGUGAAAGCCCCCAGCUCAACUGGGGAAGUGCCUUUGAUACUGGCCAUCUUGAGGGAGGUAGGGGCGUGCGGAACUUCCGGUGGAGCGGUGAAAUGCGUAGAUAUCGGAAGGAACACCGGUGGCGAAAGCGGCGCGCUGGACCUCUUCUGACGCUGAGGCGCGAAAGCCAGGGGAGCAAACGGG
rnacentral:rRNA from 1 species